ACACCUGAUGUGGAUCCAAUUAAAAUUAGCCAGCUGUAUUAUUUAUUUUUCUUUUUAAUUUAUAGAUUUGGUUUAUAAACUUUUGUUAUUUUCACAAUUGACCACAUUGCAUUAAUGACUCUCAAUCUUUUCAAGAAAAUUGUUAGUGUCACUUUUCUUUUUUUUUCACAAAAAAAAAAAAUUGUUUCUAUCACCUAGAGAACAGAGAACACGCUUCAUCUUCUUUCUCUGGUUUUUCUUUGUUUCCUAUUCUUCUUCUCCAUACCCAUUUUCUUGUUUCGUACAAGUUGAAUUUCACUUCAUCAUCUUACGAAUCAAACUUGAAUCAAACUUGUGUUCAUCGAAUUAGCAUCCUACACAAAUCAACCAAUCUUUCUAUCUCUACCACAACAUUUACAAGACGAAAGAACAUACAUGGCUAGUAGCUACAAAACUAUGCAAAAGCUUGUUUGGAGGAAAUUCAUAAGAUGCAACGUCGGUUUAUAUGGGGUGAUACAGAUCAAAAGAGGAGAUUUCAUGCUAUAAGUUGGGAUCGUAUUACAGUCCCUAAAUGGAUGGGAGGUUUAGGCCUAAGAAAACUUGAUGUUAUGAACAAGGCUUGCUUGCUUAAACUUGGAUGGAAAGUUCAAAAUGGUAGUGAUGAACUUUGGUGUAAGGUUUUACGUGGAAAAUAUGGAAGUGAGACCACAAUGGGCAGCAACACUAGUACUAGUAGAGUUACACACUCCAGUUUGUGUAAAGCGCUAGAUGGUUUAAAGCCUAUGCUAGAUAAAUGUAGUUUCUGGUGUAUAGGAGAUGGGAGAAGUAUAGAUGCUUGGAGUGAAGCAUGGAUAGAGGAAGGUUUGUUUUUGGAUCAGAAUGUCAUUAUUCCUGUCCAUUUACAACGAAUGACAGUGCAUGAUCUGGUGGAUGGUAAUGGUAAGUGGAAUUGGAGUUUAUUUGACAGUUGAAUACCUGCAGAUUGUUGUAAAAAAAUUGCAGCAAUUCUACCUCCAAAUGAUGAUUAUUGUUGGCUGAUUUUUUGUACCAAAAGGCAUUAUAAUGCUUAAUUAAGUUGUAGCAAAUAAUGACUUAUACAUGUUUUAUGUGGUUAAGUUUGAAUUCUAAGCUCUCUUAUUGUAACUUUUCAAAUAUUAUCUCGGAAAGAGGAUUAAGUAAAAUCUGCAUAAUUGCCUA